rnacentral:rRNA from 1 species
GUGACGUGCAUGAAUGGAUUAACGAUAUUCCCACUGUCCCUAUCUACUAUCUAGCGA